UCCUGAGCAUUUUGAUCUUUUACGAUCAACAGUUAUGGCAUUGCAUGAUUAUAUUUCAUGAGACAUAAUGCAACAUAAAAAACAUGUAAUAAAAGUGAUCUGGGUUGUUCCCCUGUUAUACACUUUUGGGUAUUGAAUAGUGUAGCAGGGUUUGGUAUAAGAAGAACUUAUACUGCCUUUCUUUAUGAGAUAGCUUUUAUUGCGACAUAGUAGUGUCUGCCUGCUUUGGAACCGGGAGGUCCAGCUUUUAUUGCGACAUAGUAGUGUCUGCCUGCUUUGGAACCGGGAGGUCCAGCUUUUAUUGCGACAUAGUAGUGUCUGCCUGCUUUGGAACCGGGAGGUCCAGCUUUUAUUGCGACAUAGUAGUGUCUGCCUGCUUUGGAACCGGGAGGUCCAGCUUUUAUUGCGACAUAGUAGUGUCUGCCUGCUUUGGAACCGGGAGGUCCAGCUUUUAUUGCGACAUAGUAGUGUCUGCCUGCUUUGGAACCGGGAGGUCCAGCUUUUAUUGCGACAUAGUAGUGUCUGCCUGCUUUGGAACCGGGAGGUCCAGCUUUUAUUGCGACAUAGUAGUGUCUGCCUGCUUUGGAACCGGGAGGUCCCAUGUUCAAUCCUAUUGUGUUAUGGGAUUUUUUUCUGGCUGGGUUACAUAAGCUAUUUGCAGAUGUAUAGGUAUAAUAAAUUUAACAGUCCACUUAAAAGUGUUGCAAACAACUGUCUGUAUAAUUAAAGUUCUUAGAUGCAACAUCAUAGAAAUUUUCUUUGUUAGAACAAAAAUAUCUUCCCCUCAAACAGACUGAGAUUUCAAGAAAUUUUAGAAAGUUUUAAAUUAUGAAAUUUUUAGUAUUUAGUUAGGUUGCUGAUCUGUAACAAAUUUUGAGUUGUUUUCAUCCCAUGGGUUUUCUAGAAAAUCGGGAUUUCUGUCCUAUUUAUAGGUCCAUCUCUUUAUGCAACAUAUUAUGAAAACACCCUGGGCGGAGAAAUGGGUGGGCGGCACAUUUAUUGCUUUAUUUCUCUUAGUAGGACACUUUAGAGAAUUUUACCAUGUUUUCGUGAAGUUGAGGCCAAGUUGGAUACCCAGCCAAAUCACACCAGGCUGUUUUAAAGUUUUUUCCCUUUAUUUAUAUAAAAAAUGUUUAUUUUGUCCUUUCUGCUCUCUAACUC